rnacentral:lncRNA from 14 species
GUCCGAUGUCAGAAGACAGAAUGAGCCAAGUGAAAUAGUUCAGAGAAUCAUGGGACCCAUCCGUAAUCAACCAAAUUUUUCAGUGAAAUAUGAAGAGCAACGGUCCAGCAAAAGGUCCAGGGAGAGAGGAGUUAAGAACCAGCAAUCUGAUCUGCCUUCUUGCCAGCCACUGUGAACUUGAUGACAAGUUUGCCCCACAAGGUUUCAGAAGAUAUGAACACAGCUUCAAGAGUCUGCUUGGAUUGUGAUAUGAUAGCCACUGAGAAACACAGUGUACAAAACUGGAUACCCUUAGAGUCAAAUGAUUUAUCUAAAUUAAGGGAAAGGUAAGGAAUCCUGGAGCAGAGCCUUAUGCCUGAAACCUGUCUGAGGGAGCCUCAUCCUUUCACACCCUGCUCCCCCAAGCCCAGCUUCCCACUGCC